rnacentral:lncRNA from 1 species
CUCCAAUAGCGUAUAUUUAAGUUGUUGCAGUUAAAAAGCUCGUAGUUGGACUUUGGGAUGGGCCGGCCGGUCCGCCUAUGGUGUGCACCGGUCGUCUCGUCCCUUCUGUCGGCGAUGCGCUCCUGGCCUUAACUGGCCGGGUCGUGCCUCCGGCGCUGUUACUUUGAAGAAAUUAGAGUGCUCAAAGCAAGCCUACUGUCACGGGCCUAAUUUUAGCCACGUGCGGACAGCUUAACACUCACGAUAUCGAGGCUAAACUUCAGUCCUUAACCGCCCUAAAUUCGUCCCAAGAACUUUCGAACACUCACACGAACUCACGAGGAAAUAGUAAGAAAGACACAAGAUUUUGGGAGGCCCGGAGAGCCAAUUUUCAGAUUGUAUUUCUUUAGUAUUUGGAGUGAAUGAUCUGCCCAAGAGGGCCUUUACAAGCUAUUUAUAAUGUCCCUUAGUCAAGGGAUGCAAUUAAUGCUAGUCAACAUUACUCUAUUUGGACAUACAAGCUAUGAACAAUUAAAAAGGGCUUGGUCUAGUAUGCUGAUUCUGGACAGCAGCCACUGCUCAGCUGGUCAAGGUUUCCAAACCCAAUAAAUGUUGACCCGAGCUUGUCUUUCGACCUCCCAAAUAUGCCCCCACGUGGGCCUUGUCCCGAGACGUCGAGGGAGCCCCAUCGGGUUCCGAAAUGUGUCCGAAACGCACGGAAUUGUGCCAAAAACGGGAUGAAUUUAAUGGGUAGUGACGCGGUGCGUCACACUCUCCCCCACCUGAUUUGGCGACGACCGCGGCGCCACAUAGCUGCAAAUACUUGUGGACCUUCUCCUUGAACGGCCACAAGUCUUCGUAUUUCUCCCACGACGCCUCCUCGGGUGAUUGUCCCUUCCAAUGGACUAGGAAUUGGGCACUUGAAUUGCCCCAACCUUUUCCUCGCACCAAUUGAUGAUCAAUGAUGUCCUCGAUUUGUUUAUCCGUGGCAGCGGACGUCAUGAAGAUUUGGGCCCGACUAGACUUACCCCGCUCCACGUCUUCCUUGUCUUCGAAGUAUGGUUUCAAUUUGCUUGCAUGGAAGACGGGAUAGAUCUUUAAAUGCGAUGGCAUGUCCAACUUAUAUGAAAUUUUGCCAACCUUGGCAACAAUCUCGAAUGGACCCUCGUACCUUCGGAUCAAACUUUGAUUGACGCUCCUCAAUGACUUGAAUUGCCUCGGAUUGAGCUUGACCAUCACUUUAUCUCCGAUUCGGUAGUGGACUGGACGGCGGCUACGGUCAGCAAAUUUCUUCAUUUUGCGGGCUGCUUUGUCAAGAUACGACCUUGCCAUAUCGACUUGUUCCUCCCAAGCCUUUGCCAUAUGAUAAGCACCCGGAUUCCUCAUUCCGGCGUUGACCGGUAAGGAUUGAGGAGUGUUUGGUUGCUGCCCCGUUGCAAGCUCGAAUGGACUACGACCCGUGGACUCACUCCGUGUUGCUGCAACCAUCGCUCCCAACUUACUUAACGAAGGACAAGAUCUCGCAAAGUGAGAUGUAUCCCCGCAAAGGUAGCAGCCGCUAUCGCGGUUAGCCACACCUUUCUUCUUCUCCUCGUAGUUCUUGCGGAACGACGAUGGCUGGUUGCGUUCGCCUUUGAACUCACGGUUUUUGUUGGGAAUAAACUUGUCUUUGCCUUUGUCCCCACGAUCUCCCUUGGCAGCAAUGGGCUUGUUCCGACUAUCCUUCGACUUGGCAUAAUCGGCAUGAAAAUCAGUCAAGGAUUCCGCCACUUUGAUGGCCUCAUCCACGGUCUUGACGUUGCGCCUCCUCAAUUCUUGUUUGGCCCAAUUUUGGAGGCCAUCAAGAAAGAAGAAGAGCAAAUCUUCACUGCUGAAACUCGUCACAAGAAGUGAGAGUUUCGUAAACUCCCUCACGUAGUUAUGAAUGGAAGAAGUUUGUUUAAGUUCCCUCAACUUCCGUCGAGCCUCAUCUACAACGUUUUGAGGGUAAAAUUGUUCCUUCAACUCGUCCGUAAACUGAUCCCAAUCAGUUAUGGUGCAAAGACCCCUCUCCAUGUCCACCUUUUUCCUACGCCACCACAACAUUGCGACGUCACUGAGGUACAUGGUUGCAAUUCGGAUCCUUGCUGCCCCGUCAACAAUCUUGACGUGCUCAAAAUAUGACUCUAGUUGCCAUAUGAAGUUCUCUACGUCUUGAGCGUUCCUUUCACCCUUAAACACGUUGGGUUUAGGAGCCUCAAUACGAACAUCAUGGUAUGCCACGGAACCGUGGUUUCCACCAACACGGGCUGCUUCCAGUUGUUGCUUCAAAUCAGCAACUUCCUCCUGCAAAGCGGACUGCCCAAGCAUCACCUCGGACAGUUUCGCCCCGAACUCUCCGUGUAGCGUCGAUAAGGCUUCCGUGAGCUUGAGUUCCAAGCUGGUCAGCCCCUCUUUGUGCUCUUCAUUUUGCUCGGACAAGUCGGCUUUGACUUCGUUCAGCCCUUCAAGAGCAGCAGCCUCAAGGGUACCAACGUUGGACUCAAGAGUCUUGAAGCGAUGGCCCAAAACCGCUAGGCCAGCCUCCGUGCUAACAAUUCGCUCAUCGAGAGAGCCGGAUGCUGAACCUUCGCCAUCUUUCACGUUAGUGACAGCCUCACUAACUGGAAGUUGGGCUUCAUCCUUGUUCCUACUCUUGUCACAUUUUCGGGUCUUGGUUUUGCCCAAGUUGUCUCCGCCGUGAACCUCCUCGUCGCCGUCGUAUGCCAUGUUCAAAAUCUGCUCUGAUACCACUUUGUCACGGGCCUAAUUUUAGCCACGUGCGGACAGCUUAACCUUCACGAUAUCGAGGCUAAACUUCAGUCCUAAACCGCCCUAAAUUCGUCCCAAGAACUUUCGAACACUCACACGAACUCACGAGGAAAUAGUAAGAAAGACACAAGAUUUUGGGAGGCCCGAAGAGC